rnacentral:rRNA from 1 species
AGUGAACGCUGGCGGCGUGCUUAACACAUGCAAGUCGAACGAGAACGGAUUAUAGCUUGCUAUAAUUGUCAGCUAAGUGGCGCACGGGUGAGUAAUGUAUAGGUAAUAUGCCUCUUACUAAGGGAUAACAAAUGAAAACGUUUGCUAAUACCUUAUACUCCUUAUUAACUUAAGUUAAUAAGGGAAAGAUUUAUUGGUAAGAGAUUAGCCUGUAUUGUAUCAGUUAGUUGGUGGGGUAAUGGCUUACCAAGACUAUGACACAUAACUGGUUUAAGAGGAUGAUCAGGAACACUUGAACUGAGACACGGUCCAGACUACUACGGGAGGCAGCAGUGGGGAAUAUUGCACAAUGGACGAAAGUCUGAUGCAGCAACGCCGCGUGGAGGAUGACACAUUUCGGUGCGUAAACUCCUUUUAUAUGAGAAGAUAAUGACGGUAUUAUAUGAAUAAGCACCGGCUAACUCCGUGCCAGCCGCCGCAGUAA